AUAUUGGACAAUGGGGGCAACCCUGAUCCAGCCAUGCCGCGUGUGUGAAGAAGGUCUUCGGAUUGUAUAGCACUUUAAGUUGGGAUGAAGGGCGUCAUGCUAAUACCUUGAUGUUUUGACGUUACCAACAGCAUGAGCACCGUCUAUCUCUGUGCCAGCAGCCGCGGUAAUACAUAGGGUGCAAGCGUCAAUCGGAAUUACUGGGCGUAAAGCGCGCGGAGGUGGUUCAGUAAGAUGGGUGUGAAAUCCCCGGGCUCAACCUGGGAACUGCUUGCAUAACUGCUGAGCUAGAGUACGGUAGAGGGUAGUGGAAUUUCCUGUGUAGCGGUGAAAUGCGUAGAUAUAGGAAGGAACACCAGUGGCGAAGGCGACUACCUGGACUGAUACUGACACUGAGGUGCGAAAGCGUGGGGAGCGAAC
rnacentral:rRNA from 1 species